AGCCGCUGGCCUCUGCUUUAGAGCGCUUUUGCUUUCCGAAUACAGCCUUCAUAAGGGCAAGAGCUUCCACCCAUUUUGUUCACUGCUGCGGUCCUGAUGCCUGGGACAGCCCUGCUGAGAGAUGAGGAAAGAUCACUCCUGGCACCUGACCUCUGAGAGCUGGUGCGCUGGGAAGCAGAUGUGGAGAAGACGGUUUGUGUGAAAUGAGUGUCCUGAGAAGUGACCCUGGUGUCUUCGCCUGUAAAGGAAGAGCAGACAUAACCCGAGCAGAAGCUGAUUGCGGUGGUGGCUGCAGCAAGGCCUCAGUCCAUCCCACUGGGGUCUGAGUGGGAGGGCCUUGCAGACUCGUCCUGCCACGAGGGAGGCCCUGGCCCUCUCUCCUCCCUUCAUGGACCAGUCAUGGGGUGCUGUGAACUUGGGCAGGCGGCUCCCUUCACCCAGGCCAGUUCCCGGCCAGGGGCUCAGCAGAGAGCCUGGAGCCACCAACGUUCCCAGCAGCUGAGGGAUGCUGAGGGGGACCUGGGCACCACUGCGGCCACCGCUGUCCCCUUUAAAUGCCUCUUGACCUAUCUGCCCCUUCUUGAGCAUUGCCUCUCCCCAGGCUCCAUUCUCAGGCCUUUUCUUCGUUGACUCCCAUUUCUUUGGGGGGAGCAGGGAGCAUGACCCGUGCUCCCCGGCCUUAACCAGCCCUGAGCCUGGGCCCCAGGGUUUCCUGUCUCUCCAGCAUCGCCAGUUUACGCUUCUCUUUGCCCCGCCCCUUGGGACGGCCCACCUCUUGCAUCCUUUGAUCCACCCCCCCCCCCACUGCUCCUACACGCGGCCCUCACUGCCUCCCUCCCGGGCUUGCUGUCCACUCAGGCCCCCGGCUCCGGGCAUGGGCGUCACAGCCCUUCGGGAGUGGAAGGGGUCACUUUACAUGCAUGUUUCCUCCCUCCUGUCUCUGUUUCCAGUGUUGCUCUCUCCUGCGUCCCCCAAAGCCAGCCCCUCCGCCUCGCCACUGCUGCUGGGGACACUUCCUCAAUCACAGAUUGUUAUUCACAUAGGAACAGUUGCUGGACGCUUGCCACGGCCUGCCCACGUCACAUUCUGGGCCAGUCAUGUACCCACAAAGAUCCUGGCCUCACUCAGUGGGUUAGGGAUCCCAGCUUGCCGUUGCUGUGGUGCAGGCCGGCAGCUGCAGCUCCAAUUCAACCUCCAACCUGGGAACUUCCAUAUGCUGCGGGUGCAGACCUAAAAAGAAAAAGAAAACAAAAGCAAGAAAAGUCUCUGCUUUCAGUGGCGUUUACAUUUUAGUAGGAGACACAGGAAACUAAAGAAAUGACUGAAUGAGCUGAUGGGUAAAUCAGUAUUAGAGAGUGAUAAAUGCUGUGCCAAGAAUUAGAAUAAGGAGUUCCUGUCGUGGCUCAGCAGAAAUGAAUCUGACUAUUAUCCAUGAGGAUGUGGGUUCGAUCCCUGGGCCCGCUCAGCAGGUUAAGGAUCCAGGGUUGCUGUGAGCUGUGGUGUAGGCUGGCAGCUACAGCUUAGAUUCCACCACUAGCCUGGGAACAUCCAUAUGCCCUGGGUAUGGCCCUAAAAAGACAAAAGUAAAAAACAAACCCCCAAAAUUUAGAAUACUGUGGCCGAGUGUGGCAGGAUCAGCAAAGGUCUCACGUUGUCUUCUGGGCAGGGGGCAGACUCUAGUGUGGCACAAAAGGCUCUGGUGGAGACAAGCUCUGGCCCCCUGGCGAGGACUGACAGCUUCCUCCUGCCCCUUGCACUCGGUCAGUUGGGGGUAACCCUUCCUGGAGGGCCAAGGGGCCACCUGGGUUCCCCUUCUCCCCCGCCUUCCUUCCCUUAUCCUCCCAGUCCCCCCUGUGCUGGAACAAUGUCCCUUAUGGGUGACAGCGACAAAAGCCCAGCUGGCCUCAGCAGGUUUAUUCUUAUCAGUGACUAGACCCAGACAAUUAACAAUCCCUUUCAACGGCCCUCUUGGCCAUGAUUUUUGGGAAAUGCUGACUAGGACAUGACUUGGGGAAGAGAGAUUAUUUUAAAAAAAGAAAGAAAAGAAAACAGGUGCAGUGCUCUUUCCUACUGAGCCUGUCACCGGGGUUAGAUUUGCAGCCUCCACCCUUAACCGUUGUCCCCUGCCUGCCCAGGAGCCGCCCCUCCCCCAAUUCCACCUCCCUGAGGUUUUGGAAGGAAAACUAAACAAUGGCUAAAUGAAACCAAGCCCGUUAUCAACGGGUUCCACGUCACGGCUGAUAAUUCCUCGAAAAUCCCGGUUCUCAUCAAGAAUCUCCGACUUCAUUUCCCUGCACUUGUCGCCGGUGGGCGCAGAUGAAAGUGGGAGAGAAACGCAAGGCCCAGGGCGCCUUGCUUUGGCAGCCAGCCCCUCGGCCUUUGCUUAUGUACCGGGCACCUGAUCAUCAAGCCAAAGACACGGGUGGCUGGUUUCCUAAACGCCCCAGAUGCACCCGGAGCUCCUCCCCUCCGGGGGCCGCCUCUUUGCCCCUUUAUCUGGGCACCGCCUUCCUGCACCCACCCACCACCUCCUUCGCAGACUGGCCGCGCCUUCCCUUGGCUCCCCCUAGCGGCGGGCGCCGUCCAUCACCCGUGGGAACACGGGUCCCGCACCUCCCGCGCCGGCUCCAAGGCAGACGGAAAAGACAUUAAAACCGGAGAAAGCCGAGCAUCGAUCCCUCAGCGGAGAUCCAGCUUUUAUUUUCACCACAACCGACGGUCCCGUCAGACCUUGUGUGAGGUUUUUUUUUUUUCUUUCCUGUCUGAUUACACACAAAAAAAUCACAACCAUGUAAACCAAAAUUUGUAACUUAUAUAAUCAAGACUUUUAGGUGUGAUUCUUUAUUACACGUAAAAAUAAAAUCG
rnacentral:lncRNA from 1 species